UACGGGGGGGGCAAGCGUGGUUCGGAAUUACUGGGCGUAAAGGGCUCGUAGGCGGCCAACUAAGUCAGACGUGAAAUCCCUCAGCUUAACUGGGGAACUGCGUCUGAUACUGGAUGGCUUGAGAUUGGGAGAGGGAUGCGGAAUUCCAGGUGUAGCGGUGAAAUGCGUAGAUAUCUGGAGGAACACCGGUGGCGAAGGCGGCAUCCUGGACCAACACUGACGCUGAGGAGCGAAAGCCAGGGGAGCAAACGGG
rnacentral:rRNA from 1 species